CUUUUCUUUUUUCCUCUUUUAUUUUUCUCAUCGCCUUCAUCUGUUCCUUCCACAGACGAGAAACCAUGAAAGACUUGGAGAAACGCUGAAGAUCAUGCAAGCCAUUAACUCGAAGGAAUCUUCCAAAACAAAAUAAUGGAGGAUAAGCUCCCUGAUCGCCAUCGAAGUCCGAUACUAAUAGCGCGACUUCAGGAAUUGAGUACAACAGAAGAUGUUGAAAAAAAGGCAAUGUCGUAGACAACUUGAUGCACACCAAACAGAUUCUCAGCUACAGCUGCGCCAAAUUUCGGUUAAAGCAAAGCAUAAUUCAAUGACCGAAAAUGAAAGGGAAGCACAUCUAGAAAUAUGUAGGAAUGCUUAUCGUAUGCAGAGAAUAAGAGCUGUUGAAAACAGAAAUCAGCAAGCCGGAACAAGUUGUAGUUCAAUAUCUAUUGCCAGCACAGUGCGAGGACUUUUGACGAAUACACCAGUUGAGGAUCAAAAGAUGUUUCAGAAUAUUACCUGUAAUACAAGUAUACAACCACCUCAAAGCAUGAAAUUUACCAGGUUUAACAAUGUCUGUUGACUUCAUUAAUUCACUAAUUAUGUGAAUACAAGAAUAGAUUCAAAAGAAGAAUUAGAGGAAGGAAUUUUUUUUGAAAUAAUGUUGGUUUUAGGGUUGUAGAAGCUAUGUGAACUGAAAUUUAUCCUGUCAAUCUAUGAUUCAUGUUGCAUCGUAGGUUCCAGAUUGGAUGGAAUAAAAAUACACUGCUUCCUAAAUGUUACAUAUGCGAGAAUGUCUUAUUUGUCUAAAUUGAAGAGAUUAUGCAAAGAAAGUCUGCUUUGCAGAUCUCAAUGUUUAUCAUCAGUUUAAAAAGUCUGUUUUGCAUCAAAUAGAAGAUAUGCAAGAACAUCUGCUUAGUCAAGCUGAACAAAGUUGUGAACUUUUAGUACGAAUGGUUGCGAUGGUGUUAUGUGGCAAUUUUGACUGCUGAGGAGGCUCAAACAGCAGGUUCAUGGAGUCUGCGUUUUAUUCUAAAUUGGUGAUGAGAAUGAACCUUGCUUGAGUGCAUCGCGCGUGCAUGUUAUACUAAUUUAACAUAAAUAAAAUCUAAAUAUAAUUCCAAUUUUCAAU